rnacentral:rRNA from 1 species
GACGAACGCUGGCGGCGUGCUUAACACAUGCAAGUCGAACGGAAAGGCCCUGCUUUUGUGGGGUGCUCGAGUGGCGAACGGGUGAGUAACACGUGAGUAACCUGCCCUUGACUUUGGGAUAACUUCAGGAAACUGGGGCUAAUACCGGAUAGGAGCUCCUGCUGCAUGGUGGGGGUUGGAAAGUUUCGGCGGUUGGGGAUGGACUCGCGGCUUAUCAGCGUGUUGGUGGGGUAGGGGCUUACCAAGGCUUUGACGGGUAGGCGGCCUGAGAGGGUGACCGGCCACAUUGGGACUGAGAUACGGCCCCGACUCCUACGGGAGGCAGCAGUGGGGAAUAUUGCACAAUGGGCGGAAGCCUGAUGCAGCAACGCCGCGUGCGGGAUGACGGCCUUCGGGUUGUAAACCGCUUUCGCCUGUGACGAAGCGUGAGUGACGGUAAUGGGUAAAGAAGCACCGGCUAACUACGUG